UACGUAGGUGGCUAGCGUUGUCCGGAUUUACUGGGCGUAAAGAGCGCGCAGGCGGUCGUUCAAGUCGAGUGUGAAAGCCCCCGGCUCAACUGGGGAGGGUCACGCGAUACUGCUCGACUUGAAGGCAGGAGAGGGAAGUGGAAUUCCCGGUGUAGUGGUGAAAUGCGUAGAUAUCGGGAGGAACACCAGUGGCGAAGGCGACUUCCUGGCCUGUUCUUGACGCUGAGGCGCGAAAGCUAGGGUAGCAAACGGG
rnacentral:rRNA from 1 species